rnacentral:hammerhead_ribozyme from 1 species
GUAUUGCUGAAGAGUCCCAAACUAGGACGAAACAGCUAUCCAGUAC